rnacentral:lncRNA from 10 species
GGGGGAUCACAUUUAUUGUAUUGAGGUCACAGGUCAAGUCAUUCACUAGUCCCCACUAGGAGGGGUGGCAGGGACAGGGCUGGGGGUGGUGGGGCGAGUCACCAAGGUGGGGGGCCCAGGGAGGGCAAGCUCCUUUACCCAUCUUUGAAGGCUGUUGGGGCCUGGGAAUGUGGACCAGCCCCGCCUGGGCCCCAGAGCAGGGCACGAAGCCCCACAAAGGUCCUGCCGCCACAGAGGAGGGCAACAGAGCCACAGGCAGGCCCAGAGGGGCGGGUGGACGGCACUGCAGGGGCUGGCUUCAUGCCUUCUUGAGGUUCUGGGGCAAGAGAAAGACCAGAUUAGAAAGCUGGGGACAGCUGGACAUGGUGAUGUUUGCCUGUAGUCCCGGCUGCUUGGGAGGCUGAGGUGGGAGGAUCAUUUGAGGCCAGGAGUUGACCAGCCUGGAGACCUUGUCUAUUUUCUCUUAUUAUUAUUAUUUUUUUUUUUUGAGAGUCUCACUCUGUAGCCCAGGCUGGAGAGUGCAGUAGCAUGAUCUUGGCUCACUCCAACCUCUACCUCCUGGGUUCAAGUGAUUCUUGUGCUUCAGCCUCUUGAGCAGCUGGAACUACAGGAGGCUGAGGCAGGAGAAUUGCUUGCACCCAGGAGGUGGAGGUUGCAGUGAGCCGAGAUCGCGCCAUUGCAUUCCACAUUCCAGCCUCGGCAACAAGAGUGAAACUCCAUCCAAAAAAAAAAAGGCAGGAGAUGGCCGGGUGUGGUGGCUCAUGCCUGUAAUCCCAGCACUUUGGGAGGCCAAGGCAGGUGGAUCAUCUGAGGUCAGGAGUUCGAGACCAUCCAGGCCAACAUGGUGAAACCCCAUCUC